CCUACGGGGGGCUGCAGUAAGGAAUAUUGGUCAAUGGUGGGAACACUGAACCAGCCAUUCCGCGUGAAGGAUGAAUGCCCUCUGGGUUGUAAACUUCUUUAGUCUGGGACGAAAAAGCUUCAUUUAUGAAGAACUGACGGUACCAGAAGAAUAAGCACCGGCUAACUCCGUGCCAGCAGCCGCGGUAAUACGGAGGGUGCAAGCGUUAUCCGGAAUCACUGGGUUUAAAGGGUGCGUAGGUGGCGUUAUAAGUCAGGAGUGAAAUUCCACAGCUUAACUGUAGGAACUGCUUUUGAUACUGUAAUGCUUGAACCAAGAUGAGGUAGGCGGAAUGUGGCAUGUAGCGGUGAAAUGCAUAGAUAUGCCAUAGAACACCAAUUGCGAAGGCAGCUUACUAGACUUGAGUUGACACUGAGGCACGAAAGCGUGGGGAGCAAACAGGAUUAGAUACCCCGGUAGUC
rnacentral:rRNA from 1 species